UAAGUAAAAGUUAUGUGUCAUUGUUAUACACAAUUAUGUGUUAGUGUUAUACACAGUUAUUUAUCAUUUUCUAUUAAUUCAGUUGUAGCCACUACAAUAUCUAUGACACUGGUAGUAAUUAUAAGAACAAUAAUGAUGUUCUAUAAGAGGAAAUGAUGAUUAGGAACAAAAACUUACAGAAGAUAUCAUGCGGUGGAUGGAUAAUAUGCAAAAAAUAUUAAGCAGUAUAUGAAUUUUCAUAUUGCGUAGAGAUAACAAAAUGAAUUUUAAAAAAUGUCGACACGGUAAUAAGAAAUAGCAUCGUGACAAAGAAUAUAUAAAGACAGUUUCAUUUUUUAUAAAUAAAAAUUUGUUGUUCCAGAUUUUGAAAUACAGUGAAACGUUUAAUUAGUAUCUUAAUAUCUUUAAAUAAUUAUUAUUUUAGAAUCAAUUGUAAUUGUAUCAUACGUACUUUUGAAUUCGUGCAAGAACAUAUGUAAUUUUGAAGUAGUUAUUAUUAGGAAACUGUUAGACGCGAACAGUAUGCGAAAAGUUAGUAUGCAGUGUAAUAAUUAUCAAUCAAAACACAAGAAUUAAAUUCUUGAGGAAAAAAUUUCCGGAAUUUCUUAUUUACAUGAUUAUAAAGAAAUCCAUAAUAAAAAGGAGCUGCUUUCUAAUA